rnacentral:rRNA from 1 species
UACAGAGGUCCCGAGCGUUUGUUCGGAUUCACUGGGCGUAAAGGGUGCGUAGGUGGUGAGGUAAGUCGGAUGUGAAAUCUCCGGGCUUAACCCGGAAAUGGCAUUGGAAACUACCUUGCUAGAGGAUUUGAGGGGGGGAUUGGAAUACUUGGUGUAGCAGUGAAAUGCGUAGAUAUCAAGUGGAACACCAGUGGCGAAGGCGAAUCCCUGGAAAAUACCUGACACUGAGGCACGAAAAGCUAGGGGAGCAAACAGG